GCGAAAUUGCGGAGGAGGGAGACUAAGGAGAAGUAGAGAGGGAAUGGGGCGCUUCCGGUUUGUCACUUCCCUUUUUUUUGCCACAGGAAACCCAAUUUUUUUUCUUUUUCUGCUCUUUGAGAUGCCUAUGGAGAAGGCUACGAACUUCGAUGCGCAAUCACCAUUUUCUCCUUUUUUUCUAACUUCGCCUGCAUACCGUGUGAUUUAUACGGGUUAUGCACUGUCUAGCUUGCGCGAUGCAGCAGCGUAUAGCUCGCGCUAGACGUAAAAAGGCUCAUGGGAAUUAAUUGAUCGAUUAUUCCUAACAGCCUCUGGUGGUAUUUUACAAUAACUUCACUUAAGAAACUACUCGGGUUCGUUUUUUGGGGUGUGUUAAUAAUGUUAUUUCUAAAUGAAAUCGUGUAAUUUUGGUGAGAGCUCGAGGAUGAUUACAUAUUGUUUGACGUCAUAAUCAGCAUUUCCCCAAACUGAUCAAAACGUUCAUGAAGCGAAACAGAACACAAGUAUUCAUGGAGCGUACCAAGUUUUCAAAAUGAUAGAGUUUUUUAAGGACCACCCCGUCCUCACCGGGCUAGCAGUCUGCACAGCAGGAGCCGCAGCGUUCUACUAUUGCAGAAGUAAAUCGAGUGUCGGGUGAUGAUCAAGGAGAAGAGAACAAAGUAGAAUUAGACUAGUGCUUGUCCAUCUAUUGCGUCGACAGAAUGCCAAGAGAGUGGUCACCACCAAAGUCAAUGUCCAGCCGUCCUCACACGUAAAGCCGAUGGUGAUUGCGUCCUCUACAGGACUCCAGGAAUUCCGCCUGUUUAAUCUGCGUGCAUCAUGCGACACAUAAAGCCUCGAUAGCCUUGUGGCUUGUCAUCGCGCCAGGGUCGUCAAGUCAAACUCCAUCCCUUACUUGCCGAGUCAUUGACUAAGCUGAUGAGACCCCUCAGCUUAGUGCUUGGGCAAAUGGAACCUUUGUCGUCGUCAGUUAAUCGACUUGUAUUGGUUACCAUAAAUGGUAGAUACGAAAUUCGUUAAAUGAUUGCGUAUCUGCCAUUAAUGCUAACCAACACAGGUUCCAACAAAUGGUAACCGUCCAGGUUCAUCUGAUGGAUGACAGCGCACCAGGACCAGACCACAUGUCAGCGCUUCUUUCUUCCGUCAGCCAGGUGUCGCUUGAUGAGCAUAAGUGGAUGGUGGCAGAGAUGUCACGGGUUUCACGGAUACAACAGUCCGAAGAAUCCCAAGACAAGGAGACGAAACAAGACCAAGCUUGCAUCAUGAUGACUGAAGAAAUGACAGACACGUUACCCGAGGGAAACGCAGACGUUGUUACUACUCUGGCCACAGACUUUGCAGUUGACACGGGUUUACCGGAUACACCAGUUCUUGAUCCAGUUUCUGAUUCGAAGUCAGCUUCGCUGGGAGAGGAAAGUCAAAAGCGAACAUACUAAGCUAAGGCAAAAUGAAUGUUUUGUAGAAGAGUCUCGGUGCGUAAUGUCAGAGUCGUUACACGAAGAUAGCGCUGACUGUGUUACUACUCCGGCAACAGAUCUUGCAGGAGUUUCAGUGCCUGAGUCUGAGACAGCUUACCUUGAAGAAGAAGGUAAAGGUGAAGUGACUGAAAAAUAUUAAUAUUGUACAUAAGAUUUAAGUGGCUAUAGAUUAUUACCGACGUUCAUUAAUGUGGAACAAACACACAUAGUCCACAGGCCCGCUGAUGGAGCCAAGUUAAUGGUGAAUGUGAAUCCAAGAUAAUUGGAGGUCGGGAAUGUACUUCCAUUUUAUCAGUUUAAUGUGUCAUUAAAAUAUGCUCCAUCGAUAACAGAGUUACAGAAGGACAAAGAAAUUCUAUCUAACCAGUAUGUCAAAAAGUGUAGAAAGAACCACAGCUGGAGAUUGGAGGCGAAGAUGUUCGGGUAUCAAAGAAUGACAACCAUGCUAACCUAGAAACUGAUGCAGGUGUUUUGCAUACACCAAAUGAAGGCAUUGAUCCGGAGCUCCCCUCUGAAUACACACCUACGACGACUACGGCGACUACUGAUAGCAAAGGAGACCAGGAGUUCCUUCAUAAAUGCACCCAAGCACAAGCACAGACGAAGAAGGCGAAGCGCAGAAACCGAAGACCGAAAACAUCUCAACGCAGAUCACGGAAAGACAAAAAGGAGUGACCGAGGAAAGAAAUCUAUGCAGAAUUAUCGGUAAUAGGAACAGAAUCCAUCCUUAUUAACUUCAAUAAUAGAGAAGCGAUGGUCGAACAAGACGUCGUAUCGCCUAAGCACUACACCGUGACAGAGUUAUCAGACGCGAGACCUGAUGAAAUCGGUCGUCAGGCUGUAGAGAUGACUCUUUAUCGCCCACAGCUUCUGAGCUUUCCGCAUUUAUCGCGGGUGUACAAGAAGGAAAGGUCAAGGGAACACAGCUCAAAGUGCGGAUAAAGCAAAACAAGUCGAAUAAGACCGUAGUCAAACGAUGACGCGCGUGUGACCAAACAGCACAGCGAUGACGUACUGAUCAUCGGUAUUCACAAAGACACUGCAACGCCAUUUACUAAGUGCAAGUGGUCAGAGUAAGAACGAAGCAGCAAAAAGUAAGUCAUGUUUUACACAUGGUUAGUUAAGUUAUUUAACGAGAAGGUAAACUCUACGCGAACUACAUCGUUCAACUGUAGGAUCUACCAAAAAAGGGAAACACCGAAACAAUCAUGCAGAUGAUUACCCCAGAAAGGGCCACGCCCGUGGGUUAAUGGGUAGACCUUCCACGCCUUCCACCACCAAGAGGAGGUUAUACGCCACAGCAACCCAAAAGGGAAACAGCACAGGGAGAGAAAACCACAAAGAAUAACACUAGAAGAAUGGUAAUGAGUAGAAAGGCGCAAAAUCGAAGAAUAGGUAAGAUGCUAAGCAAGUAGAUGUAUCUCUGGGAAACUCCCUCGCAGGACUUGAAAUCCUAAUCACCCUAAUGAAAAGCAUCUAUGGUCAAAGUGGCAAUUUAAGAAUGCAUAGCAAAA